AUUGAACGCUGGCGGCAGGCCUAACACAUGCAAGUCGAACGAGUGGCGGACGGGUGAGUAAUGUCUGGGAAACUGCCUGAUGGAGGGGGAUAACUACUGGAAACGGUAGAUAAUACCGCAUACCAUCAGAUGUGCCCAGAUGGGAUUAGCUAGUUGGUGGGGUAAAGGCCCAACAAGGCGAAGAGCCCGAGCUGGGCUGAGAGGAUGACCAGCCACACGGGAACUGAGACACGGUCCAGACUCCUACGGGAGGCAGCAGGGGGGAAUAUUGCACAAUUGGCGCAAGCCUGAUGCAGCCAUGCCGCGUGUAUGAAGAAGGCCUUCGGGUUGUAAAGUACUUUCAUCGUGGAGGCGUUACCCGCAGAAGAAGCACCGGCUAACUCCGUGCCAGCAGCCGCGGUAAUUC
rnacentral:rRNA from 1 species